rnacentral:rRNA from 1 species
AGACCCGAAACCCGGUGAUCUAGCCAUGGGCAGGUUGAAGGUUGGGUAACACUAACUGGAGGACCGAACCGACUAAUGUUGAAAAAUUAGCGGAUGACCUGUGGCUGGGGGUGAAAGGCCAAUCAAACCGGGAGAUAGCUGGUUCUCCCCGAAAGCUAUUUAGGUAGCGCCUCGUGAAUUCAUCUCCGGGGGUAGAGCACUGUUUCGGCUAGGGGGCCAUCCCGGCUUACCAACCCGAUGCAAACUGCGAAUACCGGAGAAUGUUAUCACGGGAGACACACGGCGGGUGCUAACGUCCGUCGUGAAGAGGGAAACAACCCAGACCGCCAGCUAAGGUCCCAAAGUCAUGGUUAAGUGGGAAACGAUGUGGGAAGGCCCAGACAGCCAGGAUGUUGGCUUAGAAGCAGCCAUCAUUUAAAGAAAGCGUAAUAGCUCACUGGUCGAGUCGGCCUGCGCGGAAGAUGUAACGGGGCUAAACCAUGCACCGAAGCUGCGGCAGCGAACGUAUCACUUAAAGCGAUUCAGCGGGUUACGAUUGACGGAGCGAAGCGACGUCAAAGCGUAUACAAAGUCGAGUCGGUUUAAGGAUACGUUCGUUGGGUAGGGGAGCGUUCUGUAAGCCUGUGAAGGUGUGUCGUGAGGCAUGCUGGAGGUAUCAGAAGUGCGAAUGCUGACAUAAGUAACGAUAAAGCGGGUGAAAAGCCCGCUCGCCGGAAGACCAAGGGUUCCUGUCCAACGUUAAUCGGGGCAGGGUGAGUCGACCCCUAAGGCGAGGCCGAAAGGCGUAGUCGAUGGGAAACGGGUUAAUAUUCCCGUACUUGGUGUUACUGCGAAGGGGGGACGGAGAAGGCUAUGUUGGCCGGGCGACGGUUGUCCCGGUUUAAGCGUGUAGGUGUGUGUUCCAGGUAAAUCCGGUUCACUUUAACACUGAGGCGUGACGACGAGGCACUACGGUGCUGAAGCAACAAAUGCCCUGCUUCCAGGAAAAGCCUCUAAGCAUCAGGUAACAUCAAAUCGUACCCCAAACCGACACAGGUGGUCAGGUAGAGAAUACCAAGGCGCUUGAGAGAACUCGGGUGAAGGAACUAGGCAAAAUGGUGCCGUAACUUCGGGAGAAGGCACGCUGACACGUAGGUGAAGUGAUUUACUCAUGGAGCUGAAGUCAGUCGAAGAUACCAGCUGGCUGCAACUGUUUAUUAAAAACACAGCACUGUGCAAACACGAAAGUGGACGUAUACGGUGUGACGCCUGCCCGGUGCCGGAAGGUUAAUUGAUGGGGUCAGCGCAAGCGAAGCUCCUGAUCGAAGCCCCGGUAAACGGCGGCCGUAACUAUAACGGUCCUAAGGUAGCGAAAUUCCUUGUCGGGUAAGUUCCGACCUGCACGAAUGGCGUAAUGAUGGCCAGGCUGUCUCCACCCGAGACUCAGUGAAAUUGAACUCGCUGUGAAGAUGCAGUGUACCCGCGGCAAGACGGAAAGACCCCGUGAACCUUUACUAUAGCUUGACACUGAACAUUGAGCCUUGAUGUGUAGGAUAGGUGGGAGGCUUUGAAGUGUGGACGCCAGUCUGCAUGGAGCCGACCUUGAAAUACCACCCUUUAAUGUUUGAUGUUCUAACGUGGACCCGUAAUCCGGGUUGCGGACAGUGUCUGGUGGGUAGUUUGACUGGGGCGGUCUCCUCCUAAAGAGUAACGGAGGAGCACGAAGGUUGGCUAAUCCUGGUCGGACAUCAGGAGGUUAGUGCAAUGGCAUAAGCCAGCUUGACUGCGAGCGUGACGGCGCGAGCAGGUGCGAAAGCAGGUCAUAGUGAUCCGGUGGUUCUGAAUGGAAGGGCCAUCGCUCAACGGAUAAAAGGUACUCCGGGGAUAACAGGCUGAUACCGCCCAAGAGUUCAUAUCGACGGCGGUGUUUGGCACCUCGAUGUCGGCUCAUCACAUCCUGGGGCUGAAGUAGGUCCCAAGGGUAUGGCUGUUCGCCAUUUAAAGUGGUACGCGAGCUGGGUUUAGAACGUCGUGAGACAGUUCGGUCCCUAUCUGCCGUGGGCGCUGGAGAACUGAGGGGGGCUGCUCCUAGUACGAGAGGACCGGAGUGGACGCAUCACUGGUGUUCGGGUUGUCAUGCCAAUGGCACUGCCCGGUAGCUAAAUGCGGAAGAGAUAAGUGCUGAAAGCAUCUAAGCACGAAACUUGCCCCGA